rnacentral:tRNA from 1 species
GCCGGAAUAGCUCAGUCGGUAGAGCAGAGGACU